rnacentral:rRNA from 1 species
GACGAACGCUGGCGGCGUGCCUAAUACAUGCAAGUAGAACGCUGAAGGAGGAGCUUGCUUCUCUGGAUGAGUUGCGAACGGGUGAGUAACGCGUAGGUAACCUGCCUGGUAGCGGGGGAUAACUAUUGGAAACGAUAGCUAAUACCGCAUAAGAGUAGAUGUUGCAUGACAUUUGCUUAAAAGGUGCAAUUGCAUCACUACCAGAUGGACCUGCGUUGUAUUAGCUAGUUGGUGAGGUAACGGCUCACCAAGGCAAUGAUACAUAGCCGACCUGAGAGGGUGAUCGGCCACACUGGGACUGAGACACGGCCCAGACUCCUACGGGAGGCAGCAGUAGGGAAUCUUCGGCAAUGGACGGAAGUCUGACCGAGCAACGCCGCGUGAGUGAAGAAGGUUUUCGGAUCGUAAAGCUCUGUUGUAAGAGAAGAACGAGUGUGAGAGUGGAAAGUUCACACUGUGACGGUAUCUUACCAGAAAGGGACGGCUAACUACGUG